rnacentral:rRNA from 1 species
UGAGGAAUCUUGCGCAAUGGGGGAAACCCUGACGCAGCAACGCCGCGUGAGUGAGGAAGGUCUUCGGGUCGUAAAGCUCUGUCAGGCGGGAAGAAAUGCAUGGAGGUGAACAGCCGCCAUGCUUGACGGUACCGCCACAGGAAGCACCGGCUAACUCCGUGCCAGCAGCCGCGGUCAUACGGGGGGUGCAAGCGUUGUUCGGAAUCAUUGGGCGUAAAGAGCGUGUAGGCGGCUAGGUUAGUCAGAUGUGAAAGCACUGGGCUCAACACGGGAAGUGCAUUUGAGACUGCGAGGCUCGAGUAGGGGAGAGGGAAGUGGGAUACCUGGUGUGGAGGUGAAAAUCGUAGAUAUCAGGAGGAACACCGGUGGCGAAGGCGACUUCCUGGCGCUAUACUGACGCUGAGACGCGAGAGCGUGGG